rfam:Ananas comosus cultivar MD2 ACMD2_Scaffold_1023, whole genome shotgun sequence.
AAGAUUGCGGAUGUGGCAUCAUCAAGAUUCACAUGGUCAUGAUCCAUCCAUGAUCAAAUUCUACAUGAGAAUCUUGAUGAUGCUGCAUCAGCAAUAAU